CCCUUAGAUGUCCGGGGCUGCACGCGCGCUACACUGAAGGAAUCAGCGUGCUAAAACCAUUGUCGAAAGGCAUUGGUAAACCCAUUAAAAUCCUACGUGAUUGGGAUCGGGAAUUGCAAUUAUUUCCCUUGAACGAGGAAUUCCCAGUAAGUGUGGGUCAUAAGCUCGCGUUGAUUACGUCCCUGCCCUUUGUACACACCGCCCGUCGCUGCCCGGGACUGAGCCGUUUCGAGAAAAGCGGGGACUGCUGCUGUCGGGGCUUUCGGGCCUUGGCUUCGGUGGAAACCGCUUUAAUCGCAGUGGCUUGAACCGGGCAGAAGUCGUAACA
rnacentral:rRNA from 1 species